GUCGAUCGGGUGAUGUUAGUAUCCGUUAAUCAUUUGUUUUUUUUUGUACGUUAUAAGUUCUUACAAGAUUAAGCUGGACUUGUAUUGAUUAGAUAAAGUUGUUUGUGCUGCUACCGGGUUCUCGGCGAACUCCGAUUGCUGUCAACUUAUCAUUGUUGCUGCUUUUGCCGCUCUCCGGUGGAUUUUCUUGAACUUCAUGGGGUUGAAGGUGAUGUAUGUCAUUGAUACGCACUGAGAAAGGAGGACCUCCUUCGUGGCGAACUUGUUUUUCUUUGACCAGCCAUUUCUUUCUUUCCAAAUUACCCAAACAAGUGAUACACAUACCAUUGGAUAGUCAAGAGUCGCGGAAGACGUUGGUGCACUGCUGGAGUCCGACCGACGACGGAGACAUAAUUUCAGAGUUGGGGAAGAGGGACGAUCCGAGUUCGUUGAUGGCAUCUGGACCGGUCAAAGAUCGGAUUAAAUCCAAACGGGUUACUCGCAAACCGGCCUGGUGUGUGGAUUAUGAAAUGGGCUUGGAGGUAGAUAGCUAAGUCAGUAAGCGAUGAAUCGAUUUAUUUUUAAAUAAUUGCAGUAAAAACCUUGAGUAAUUAGAAUUUCUACUUCUAUUUAGGGUUGUAAUCAUUUGCUACUUGGUUUUUUAUCAAAGAAAUGAUUACACAAUCUAGUGUCCCAUCAUCAACCCUAAUCAUCCUCAGAAUUGGAGUAAUUGCUUUGCUUUGCAACAAACAAGUAAUUGGAGUUAAGCCUCGAUUUCAGAAACACCCAAGAUCCGGAUCGAUCUCGGAUGAUCGGCAGGUCGUACCGUGUUUGUAAUUGAAUCGAUUUAGUUCAUAUCAACAAGGUUGGUUAGGAUUUCCUAGUGUAAGACUCAUGCCUCUAAUUGUUUUGUUAUCAAAUCCGUGAGAUAGUAUAAAUACCUUCAAAACUGUCGGACUAAAUAUUUAGUUAAUACUCAAUAAAUGCAUAUUUCCAUUAAUGUAACUUGUAAAGAAUCAGGAUUUUAGGGUUUAACCGUUUAAGAUUAAGAUUAGAGUUAGUUAAUAUUCAAUAACUUGUAAAUCCUACCUAAGAAUCUAU
rnacentral:lncRNA from 1 species